GGCCGUGUGGCGAAAUGGCAUCGCGUCUGACUACGACAACGCGGCAUCAGGAGAUUGCAGGUUCGACCCCUGUCUCGGUCA
rnacentral:tRNA from 1 species